UACGUAGGGUGCAAGCGUUGUCCGGAAUUAUUGGGCGUAAAGAGCUCGUAGGCGGUUUGUCGCGUCUGCUGUGAAAACGCGAGGCUCAACCUCGCGCCUGCAGUGGGUACGGGCAGACUAGAGUGCGGUAGGGGAGAUUGGAAUUCCUGGUGUAGCGGUGGAAUGCGCAGAUAUCAGGAGGAACACCGAUGGCGAAGGCAGGUCUCUGGGCUGUAACUGACGCUGAGGAGCGAAAGCAUGGGGAGCGAACAGG
rnacentral:rRNA from 1 species